AAAAAACAAAUUACGACUCUCAGCAACGGAUAUCUUGGCUCUCGCAACGAUGAAGAACGCAGCGAAAUGCGAUACCUAGUGUGAAUUGCAGAAUUCCGCGAAUCAUCGAGUUUUUGAACGCAUGUUGCGCCCGAGGUUUUUCCGAGGGCAUGUCUGCCUGAGCGUCA
rnacentral:rRNA from 1 species